rnacentral:rRNA from 1 species
UACGAAGGGGGCUAGCGUUGUUCGGAAUUACUGGGCGUAAAGCGCACGUAGGCGGAUAUUUAAGUCAGGGGUGAAAUCCCGGGGCUCAACCCCGGAACUGCCUUUGAUACUGGGAGUCUUGAGUUCGGGAGAGGUGAGUGGAACUGCGAGUGUAGAGGUGAAAUUCGUAGAUAUUCGCAAGAACACCAGUGGCGAAGGCGGCUCACUGGCCCGAUACUGACGCUGAGGUGCGAAAGCGUGGGGAGCAAACAGG